rnacentral:rRNA from 1 species
AUUGAACGCUGGCGGCAGGCUUAACACAUGCAAGUCGAACGAGUGGCGGACGGGGGAGUAAUGCUUGGGAAACUGGCUUAUGGAGGGGGAUAACUACGGGAAACUGUAGCUAAUACCGCAUAACAUAGCAUGAGCCCAGUCGGGAUUAGGUAGUGGGUGCGGUAAAGGCUCACCAAGCCGACGAUCCCUAGCUGGUCUGAGAGGAUGACCAGCCACACUGGGACUGAGACACGGCCCAGACUCCGACGGGAGGCAGCAGUGGUGAAUAUUGCGCAAUGGGGGCAACCUGACGCAGCCAUGCCGCGUGAAUGAAGAAGGCCUUCGGGUUGUAAAGUUCUUUCGGUUGCGAGGCGUUAACUACAGAAGAAGCACCGGCUAACUCCGUGCCAGCAGCCGCGGUAAUAC